UUACAUAAAUUUGAAAAUUUUAGCAUUUUGCUUAAAAAAUAGGUAGUUUUAUCAAUAUAAUCUGCCACAAUCGGCCCUUUGAGGACAUUCGUGAUUUGAUAUGCCCCAAAAUGAAAAUGAGUUCGACA